rnacentral:rRNA from 1 species
AACUGUGGCGUAAGGUUGUCCGGUCCGGCGGUCGCGGCGGCGCCGAGGUCCUUCUGAUCGAGGCCCCCUCCGUCCCGUGGCGGGUGUCAGGCCCCUGCGGGCGCCGCCCGGCGGCCGACCAGGGCUUCCGGGAGUCGGGUUGUUUUGUAGCGCAGCCCAAAGGCGGGUGGGAAACUCCAUCCAAGGCUAAAUACCGGCACGAGACCGAUAGAGCACAAGUACCAUGAGGGAAAGUA